GCAACAUUUACCAAUUUUGAUGAGAAUGUGGAACACUAGAACUCUGGGACGCUGUGGGUGGGAAGGUAACGUGGUGCAAGGACCUUGGACAACUAUGUGGAAAAUACUAAAGUUAAAUGUACACACGGUAACCCAGCACUCCACUCCUGGGUAUGUUUCCAGCAGUUUGUAACAGGCCCAAAUAAUCCAUCGAGGAUAGGAUGAUUAUGUUCUAUAUCACAACUGUGGUGGGGGUUACACAACUGUAUAUAUUUCCCCAAACUCACAGAACUGUACACUCAAAAGGGGAAAUUUUAGCACUAACUUUGGCAGCACAUAUAAUAAAAAAGGGAAA
rnacentral:lncRNA from 10 species